AUUUUAAUAGCUUAUAUUUUUAGAGCAUGAUAUUGAAGAUAUCAGGGAAGUUUAUUAACUUUAAAAUA
rnacentral:tRNA from 1 species